GUCCCUAUCUACUAUCUAGCGAAACCACAGCCAAGGGAACGGGCUUGGAAUCAUUAGCGGGGAAAGAAGACCCUGUUGAGCUUGACUCUAGUUUGGCACUGUAAGAAGACAUAAGAGGUGUAGCAUAAGUGGGAGAUAUUUUGUAUUUAUACAGCUUAUCAUAAAUGAAAUACCACUACUUUUAUCGUUUUCUUACUUACUUGAUUAAAUGGAGAAUGUGCUUUCAUUCAUACCACUUGUAUAUUGUGACUUUGUCAUCUUUAUACUUGUGACUAUGAUGAUCUUGUACACUUUUCUUGAUCCAAGUGUCAUGAACCGUUGGUACGUUUGUACAAUUGAGGUGUUGUUGGGGAGCAAUCUUUGACACAUUUUAAUUGGAGUAUUAACAUUAUGGUUAAGACACGAUCCAAGUCAGGGACACUGCCAGGUGGGGAGUUUGACUGGGGCGGUACAUCUCUAAAACAAUA
rnacentral:rRNA from 1 species